rnacentral:rRNA from 1 species
AAUAGAUACCCUGGUAGUCCACGCCGUAAACGAUGGAUACUAGCUGUUUGAGCGCAAGUUUGAGUGGCUAAGCGAAAGUGAUAAGUAUCCCACCUGGGGAGUACGGGCGCAAGCCUGAAACUCAAAGGAAUUGACGGGGGCCCGCACAAGCGGUGGAGCAUGUGGUUUAAUUCGAUGAUACGCGAGGAACCUUACCAGGGCUUAAAUGUAGAUUGACGUAUUUGGAAACAGAUAUUUCUUCGGACAAUUUACAAGGUGCUGCAUGGUUGUCGUCAGCUCGUGCCGUGAGGUGUCAGGUUAAGUCCUAUAACGAGCGCAACCCCUGUUGUUAGUUGCCAGCGAGUAAUGUCGGGAACUCUAGCAAGACUGCCAGUGUAAACUGUGAGGAAGUGGGGAUGACGUCAAAUCAUCACGGCCCUUAGUCCUGGGCCACACACGUGCUACAAUGGCCGGUACAGAGAGCAGCCACUUAGCGAUAAGGAGCGAAUCUAUAAAGCCGGUCACAGUUCGGAUCGGAGU